UACGUAGGGCGCAAGCGUUGUCCGGAAUUAUUGGGCGUAAAGAGCUCGUAGGCGGCUUGUCACGUCGGAUGUGAAAGCCCGGGGCUUAACUCCGGGUCUGCAUUCGAUACGGGCUGGCUAGAGUGUGGUAGGGGAGAUCGGAAUUCCUGGUGUAGCGGUGAAAUGCGCAGAUAUCAGGAGGAACACCCGUGGCGAAAGCGGCUCUCUGGGACGGUACUGACGCUGAGACGCGAAAGCGUGGGGAGCAAACAGG
rnacentral:rRNA from 1 species